GUGUCCAUAGCUUAGCUGGUUAAAGCGCCUCGCUGUGGCCGAGGAGAGCGAGGGUUCAAAUCCCUCUGGACACCCCA
rnacentral:tRNA from 1 species